CUUAGGUGGAAGGCUGAGAAAGGCAAUUCCGGUUGUCUGGAGCCAUCAGUGAGAUACCACUCUGGGAGAGCUAGGAGUCUAAUGGCGUUCCUUGAGUCAGGACGCUUGACAGUUUCAGGUGGGCAGUUUUACUGGGGCGGUAGCCUCCUAAAAGGUAACGGAGGCGUGCAAAGGUUCCCUCAGGCUGGACGGAAAUCAGCCAUAGAGUGUAAAGGCAGAAGGGAGCUUGACUGCAAGACCUACAAGUCGAGCAGGGACGAAAGUCGGCCUUAGUGAUCCGACGGUGCCGUGUGGAAGGGCCGUCGCUCAACGGAUAAAAGUUACUCUAGGGAUAACA
rnacentral:rRNA from 1 species